rnacentral:rRNA from 1 species
GAUGAACGCUGGCGGCGUGCUUAACACAUGCAAGUCGAACGGAAAGGCUCCUGCUUGCCGGGGUACUCGAGUGGCGAACGGGUGAGUAACACGUGGGUGAUCUGCCCUGCACUUCGGGAUAAGCCUUGGAAACUGGGUCUAAUACCGGAUAGGACGAUGGUUUGGAUGCCAUUGUGGAAAGUUUUUCGGUGUGGGAUGAGCUCGCGGCCUAUCAGCUUGUUGGUGGGGUAAUGGCCUACCAAGGCGUCGACGGGUAGCCGGCCUGAGAGGGUGUACGGCCACAUUGGGACGGAGAGAGGCACCAGAUGGCAAGGGGGGGCAGUGGGGGGAAAUAUGGCGGAAGGGGGGCACGCCGGAGACAGCGGCGCCGGGUGGGGGAUACCGGCUUUCGGGUGAAAAACAUCUUUCGCAGGGAACGAGCAGAACGGGACGUUACCUGAAAAGAAAGCCCCGGCUAACUACGUG